UACGUAGGGUGCUAGCGAUGUUCGGAAUCAUUGGGCGUAAAGCGCGUGUAGGUGGUCAUCUAAGUCGAGUGUGAAAGCCCUGGGCUCAACCCGGGAAGUGCAUCCGAAACUAGUUGACUAGAAGACAUUAGAGGAAGGUGGGAUUCCAAGUGUAGAGGUGAAAUUCGUAGAUAUUUGGAGGAAUACCGGCGGCGAAGGCGGCCUUCUGGGAUGCUCUUGACACUGAGACGCGAAAGCGUGGGUAGCAAACAGG
rnacentral:rRNA from 1 species